GCUAUAGCUCAGUGAUAGAACAUCUGCUCUGCAUGCGGAAGGGCCCAGGUUCAGUUCCUGGGAUCCCUAGUUACAGCU